rnacentral:rRNA from 1 species
AACGACUCUCGGCAACGGAUAUCUCGGCUCUCGGAUCGAUGAAGAACGUAGCGAAAUGCGAUACUUGGUGUGAAUUGCAGAAUCCCGUGAACCAUCGAGUCUUUGAACGCAAGUUGCGCCCCAAGCCUUYUGGCCGAGGGCACGUYUGCCUGGGUGUCACAAA